rnacentral:rRNA from 1 species
AGAGUUUGAUCAUGGCUCAGAACGAACGCUGGCGGCAUGCUUAACACAUGUAAGUCGAACGCACGUAGCAAUACGUGAGUGGCAGACGGGUGAGUAACGCGUGGGAACGUACCCCAAGGUUCGGAAUAACGAUUGGAAACGAUCGCUAAUACCGGAUAAGCUCGAGAGAGGAAAGGUUUACCGCCUUGGGAGCGGCCCGCGUUAGAUUAGGUAGUUGGUGGGGUAAAGGCCUACCAAGCCUACGAUCCAUAGCUGGUCUGAGAGGAUGAUCAGCCACACUGGGACUGAGACACGGCCCAGACUCCUACGGGAGGCAGCAGUGGGGAAUAUUGGACAAUGGGGGAAACCCUGAUCCAGCAAUGCCGCGUGAGUGAUGAAGGCCUUCGGGUUGUAAAGCUCUUUUACCUGUGACGAUAAUGACGGUAGCAGGAGAAUAAGUCCCGGCUAACUUCGUGCCAGCAGCCGCGGUAAUACGAAGGGGACUAGCGUUGUUCGGAAUUACUGGGCGUAAAGGGCGCGUAGGCGGUUUUGUGCGUUAGAUGUGAAAGACCUGGGCUUAACCUGGGAAGUGCAUUUAAUACGGCAAAACUAGAGGACGAGAGAGGAAAGUGGAAUGAUGCAUGUAGAGGUGAAAUUCGUAGAUAUGCAUUGGAACACCAGUGGCGAAGGCGACUUUCUGGCUCGUAACUGACGCUAAGGCGCGAAAGCGUGGGGAGCAAACAGGAUUAGAUACCCCCGUAGUCC